rnacentral:rRNA from 1 species
UACGAGGGGGGCGAGCGUUGUUCGGAAUUAUUGGGCGUAAAGGGUGCGUAGGCGGUUUGGUAAGUCUUAUGUGAAAUCUACAGGCUCAACUUGUAGUCUGCAUGAGAAACUGCCGGGCUUGAGUAUGGGAGAGGUGAGUGGAAUUCCUGGUGUAGCGGUGAAAUGCGUAGAUAUCAGGAGGAACACCUGUGGCGAAAGCGGCUCACUGGACCAUAACUGACGCUGAUGCGCGAAAGCUAGGGGAGCAAACAGG